AUAAUGGCGCAGCCUGAUCUGCCAUGCCGCGGUGAGUGAUGAAGGCCCUAGGGUCGUAAAGCUCUUUCGCCUGUGAAGAUAAUGACUGUAGCAGGUAAAGAAACCCCGGCUAACUCCGUGCCAGCAGCCGCGGUAAUACGA
rnacentral:rRNA from 1 species